CCAUAAAACGCGCCCCAGUUCGGAUUGCAGGCUGCAACUCGCCUGCAUGAAGCCGGAAUCGCUAGUAAUCGCGGGGCAGCAUACCGCGGUGAAUANGUUCCUGAGCCUUGUACACACCGCCCGUCAAGCCACGAAAGUGGGGGGCANCCGAAGUCGCNNAGCUAACNNUNAGGAGGCAGGCGCCGAAGNUGAACUCNGCNAUUGGGACUAAGUCGUAACAAGGUAGCCGUAGGGGAACCUGCGGCUGGAUCACCUCCUUUCUAAGGA
rnacentral:rRNA from 1 species